GAUGAACGCUGGCGGCGUGCCUAAUACAUGCAAGUCGAGCGAAGCGGGGAUGGGUGUGUAACACGUGGAUAACCUCCUAUAAGUCUGGGUCAACUUCGGGAAACCGGUGCCAAACCGGCUACUUAUAGAUGGAUUUGCGCUGUAUUAGCUAGUUGGUAAGGUAACGGCUGACCAAGGCCACGAUGAAUAGCGGACCUGAGAGGAUGAUCGGCCACACUGGAACUGAGACACGGUCCAGACUCCUACGGGAGGCAGCAGUAGGGAAUCGUCCGCAAUGGGCGAAAGCCUGACGGAGAAACGCCGCGUGAGUGAAGAAGGUCUUCGGAUCGUAAAACUCUGUUAUUAGGGAAGCGGUACCUAAUCAGAAAGCCACGGCUAACUACGUGCCAGCAGCCGCGGUAAUAC
rnacentral:rRNA from 1 species